rnacentral:rRNA from 1 species
AGUGGGGAAUAUUGCACAAUGGGCGCAAGCCUGAUGCAGCGACGCCGCGUGGGGGAUGACGGCCUUCGGGUUGUAAACCUCUUUCAGCAGGGACGAAGCGCAAGUGACGGUACCUGCAGAAGAAGCACCGGCCAACUACGUGCCAGCAGCCGCGGUAAUACGUAGGGUGCGAGCGUUGUCCGGAAUUACUGGGCGUAAAGAGCUCGUAGGUGGUUUGUCGCGUUGUUCGUGAAAACCGGGGGCUUAACCCUCGGCGUGCGGGCGAUACGGGCAGACUGGAGUACUGCAGGGGAGACUGGAAUUCCUGGUGUAGCGGUGGAAUGCGCAGAUAUCAGGAGGAACACCGGUGGCGAAGGCGGGUCUCUGGGCAGUAACUGACGCUGAGGAGCGAAAGCGUGGGGAGCGAA